rnacentral:rRNA from 1 species
GUGUCAGCAGCCGCGGUAAUACGGAGGGGGCAAGCGUUGUUCGGAAUCAUUGGGCGUAAAGGGCGCGUAGGUGGCCAAACAAGUCGGGUGUGAAAUCCCUCGGCUCAACCGAGGAACUGCAUUCGAUACUGUUCGGCUAGAGUCCGGGAGGGGAUGGUGGAAUUCCCAGUGUAGCGGUGAAAUGCGUAGAUAUUGGGAAGAACACCGGUGGCGAAGGCGGCCAUCUGGACCGGCACUGACACUGAGGCGCGAAAGCCAGGGGAGCGAAUGGGAUUAGAUACCCCGGUAGUCC